UGGGUAAAUCGAACGGCUUAACCCGUUCGACCCCCUAGGAGACUGCCUGGCUUGAGACCGGGAGAGGCCGGAGGUACUCUAGGGGUAGGGGUGAAAUCCUGUAAUCCCUAGGGGACCACCUGUGGCGAAGGCGUCCGGCUUGAACGGGUCUGACGGUGAGGGACGAAGGCCAGGGGCGCAAACCGGAUUAGAUACCCGGGUAGUCCUGGCUGUAAACGCUGCGGGCUUGGUGUUGGGGGUCCUUCGAGGGCACCCAGUGCCGUAGAGAAGUUGUUAAGCCCGCCACCUGGGGAGUACGGCCGCAAGGCUGAAACUUAAAGGAAUUGGCGGGGGAGCACUGCAACGGGAGGAGCGUGCGGUUUAAUUGGAUUCAACGCCGGACAACUCACCAGGGGCGACCACCGUAUGAGGCUCAGCCUGACGAGCUUAGCCGAUAGGUGGAGAGGUGGUGCAUGGCCGUCGUCAGUUCGUACCGUAGGGCGUUCUCUUAAGUGAGAUAACGAACGAGACCCCCGCCCCUAUUUGCUACCUUUCCCUCCGGGGAAAGGGCACAAUAGGGGGACCGCCGCUGCUAAAGCGGAGGAAGGUGGGGUCAACGGUAGGUCAGUAUGCCCCGAAUCCCCUGGGCUACACGCGCGCUACAAAGGGCAGGACAGAGGGUUCCGACACCGAAAGGUGAAGGUAAUCCCGAAACCUGUCCGUAGUUCGGAUUGAGGGCUGUAACCCGCCCUCAUGAAGGUGGAUUCCGUAGUAAUCGCGGUCAACU
rnacentral:rRNA from 1 species